rnacentral:rRNA from 1 species
CCCCAGCGCCACAAGUGGUAGCCGCUUUUAUUGGGCCUAAAGCGUUCGUAGCCGGCUUGGUCUAUCUCAUGUGAAAUUGUUCGGCUUAACCGACCAACGUGCAGGAGACACUGCCAAGCUUGGGACCGGAAGGAGUCAGAGGUAUGCUCGGGGGAGCGGUAAAAUGCUAUAAUCCCGAGUGGACCACCUGUGGCGAAGGCGUCUGACUAGGACGGAUCCGACGGUGAGGAACGAAAGCCAGGGGA